GGAUAUGGCGAUUAGACAACGGACAACCAUAAAUCCUAUUACUUGGUGGAGUACAAAUGGAGGUCGUGCUUUUGAGCUUUCAAAGCUUGCACGACGCAUACUAGGCCUUUGUUGCUCUUCUUCUAGUUGCGAGCGCAACUGGAGCACAUUUGAGUUUAUUCAUACCAAAAAGAGGAAUAGACUGGAACAUUCUCGUUUGAAUGAUCUAGUCUAUGUUCA